AUGAACGCUGGCGGCGUGCCUAAUACAUGCCAGUCGAGCGAACGGACGAGAAGCUUGCUUCUCUGAUGUUAGCGGCGGACGGGUGAGUAACACGUGGAUAACCUACCUAUAAGACUGGGAUAACUUCGGGAAACCGUAGCUAAUACCGGAUAAUAUUUUGAACCGCAUGGUUCAAAAGUGAAAGACGGUCUUGCUGUCACUUAUAGAUGGAUCCGCGCUGCAUUAGCUAGUUGGUAAGGUAACGGCUUACCAAGGCAACGAUGCAUAGCCGACCUGAGAGGGUGAUCGGCCACACUGGAACUGAGACACGGUCCAGACUCCUACGGGAGGCAGCAGUAGGGAAUCUUCCGCAAUGGGCGAAAGCCUGACGGAGCAACGCCGCGUGAGUGAUGAAGGUCUUCUGAUCGUAAAACUCUGUUAUUAGGGAAGAACAUAUGUGUAAGUAACUGUGCACAUCUUGACGGUACCUAAUCAGAAAGCCACGGCUAACUACGUG
rnacentral:rRNA from 1 species